GAUGAACGCUGGCGGCGUGCCUAAUACAUGCAAGUCGAGCGAACGGACGAGAAGCUUGCUUCUCUGACGUUAGCGGCGGACGGGUGAGUAACACGUGGAUAACCUACCUAUAAGACUGGGAUAACUUCGGGAAACCGGAGCUAAUACCGGAUAAUAUUUUGAACCGCAUGGUUCAAUAGUGAAAGACGGUCUUGCUGUCACUUAUAGAUGGAUCCGCGCUGCAUUAGCUAGUUGGUAAGGUAACGGCUUACCAAGGCAACGAUGCAUAGCCGACCUGAGAGGGUGAUCGGCCACACUGGAACUGAGACACGGUCCAGACUCCUACGGGAGGCAGCAGUAGGGAAUCUUCCGCAAUGGGCGAAAGCCUGACGGAGCAACGCCGCGUGAGUGAUGAAGGUCUUCGGAUCGUAAAACUCUGUUAUUAGGGAAGAACAUAUGUGUAAGUAACUAUGCACAUCUUGACGGUACCUAAUCAGAAAGCCACGGCUAACUACGUG
rnacentral:rRNA from 1 species